rnacentral:rRNA from 1 species
ACGCCAGUCUGCAUGGAGCCGGCCUUGAAAUACCACCCUUUAAUGUUUGAUGUUCUAACGUGGACCCGUGAUCCGGGUUGCGGACAGUGUCUGGUGGGUAGUUUGACUGGGGCGGUCUCCUCCUAAAGAGUAACGGAGGAGCACGAAGGUUGGCUAAUCCUGGUCGGACAUCAGGAGGUUAGUGCAAUGGCAUAAGCCAGCUUGACUGCGAGCGUGACGGCGCGAGCAGGUGCGAAAGCAGGUCAUAGUGAUCCGGUGGUUCUGAAUGGAAGGGCCAUCGCUCAACGGAUAAAAGGUACUCCGGGGAUAACAGGCUGAUACCGCCCAAGAGUUCAUAUCGACGGCGGUGUUUGGCACCUCGAUGUCGGCUCAUCACAUCCUGGGGCUGAAGUAGGUCCCAAGGGUAUGGCUGUUCGCCAUUUAAAGUGGUACGCGAGCUGGGUUUAGAACGUCGUGAGACAGUUCGGUCCCUAUCUGCCGUGGGCGCUGGAGAACUGAGGGGGGCUGCUCCUAGUACGAGAGGACCGGAGUGGACGCAUCACUGGUGUUCGGGUUGUCAUGCCAAUGGCA